CACGAACGCUGGCGGCAGGCUUAACACAUGCAAGUCGAGCGCCCCGCAAGGGGAGCGGCAGACGGGUGAGUAACGCGUGGGAAUCUACCCAUCUCUACGGAAUAACGCAUGGAAACGUGUGCUAAUACCGUAUACGUCCUUCGGGAGAAAGAUUUAUCGGAGAUGGAUGAGCCCGCGUUGGAUUAGCUAGUUGGUGGGGUAAAGGCCUACCAAGGCGACGAUCCAUAGCUGGUCUGAGAGGAUGAUCAGCCACACUGGGACUGAGACACGGCCUAGACUCCUACGGGAGGCAGCAGUGGGGAAUAUUGGACAAUGGGCGCAAGCCUGAUCCAGCCAUGCCGCGUGAGUGAUGAAGGCCCUAGGGUUGUAAAGCUCUUUCACCGGUGAAGAUAAUGACGGUAACCGGAGAAGAAGCCCCGGCUAACUUUGUGCCAGCCGCCGCGGUAAGAC
rnacentral:rRNA from 1 species